UCAGGAAAUGUGAUAAUCGCUUGGCCGUAAGGUCAUGAGGAAAGUCCGAACACCCUGUUUGCGGUAACGCAGACAGAAAAAAGGAUGUCGCUAACAGCGACCAGGAUAUACAUCAGAACGGAAGGAACUGGUAAAUCUGUUCCUGCCAGUCUGAUAAAACCUAGGGAAAGUCCCGCUUCGGCGGGAUCCUCCAUAACUCUGCUUGCAGAGCGACGGAUGGAUGCCACAGAGACAAUACUAUCCUUCUUCGCUCUUAUGGAGCUACGAAGGAGAAACGUGAAAAGUAAUGCAGUGUCCUUCAGGGCUACGCAUUUCGUCUGGCGGCGACGCCAUGACGCGGUAAACCCAUCCUGGUGCAAGAGCAAAUUAGGUAGCUCGCUUGAAGCCUAUGGCAACAUAGGUUCUAGAUAAAUGAUUAUCGCCCUUCAAAACUCCGCAAGGAAAGAACAAGGGUUACAGAAUUCGGCUUAUAACUUCCUGAACAA
rnacentral:RNase_P_RNA from 4 species